UCGUUUGUUCCGAUUGUCCCAUAAUUUCCAGCAGAGCAGGCCGAAUUUUGAGGCACUUUAUAAGGAUAGUUUUCUCAACCUCACCCUUCUUCUUCCCUGUGAAGCAAACGGGCCUUAAUCUUGACAGUCUUUAUCCAUAACUCGGCCCAAUUCAAGCCGGCGAGACUCUCCCUUCGUAUUCGUGCUUGAUUUUUGAAGAUCGAGGACACGCACAGGCAACAAUGCUGCGGACUCGAUUGCUUUGGUUCAGUCUAGGGUUUACAUUCUCAGCUGCCACGAUUUCCCACUUUGUUUGGAAGGAUCUUUGGGUUGAUCGCCACGCUCUUGCUGCUGAUAUGAAGCAGAAGUUUGAUGCUCUGGAAGCUAGAGUGUCCAACCUUGAAUCUUUACCUCAUCAAAAUUCGACAUCGGAAAAGGUUGAAGGCUAGACAUCAUUUGGGAAUCAGGGAAAUGAUUUAUCAGUUUUCGUUGAUCUGGUCUACUGGAAACUGAUUUUGUUGGAAAUGACAAUAAAUUUGUACUGCCACACAUGAUUCCCAACAGUUUAACUACAGUAAUUGUUUCUUGUUCACAGGCCUUGCCCUUAAAAUCAAUUGAAAGCAGUAGUACGUUGUAGGAACUUGAUAUAAGUUUUGAUUUGGCAAUGAAUUUCUAAAUAUUACUACCUCUGAUUCUAAUUAUAAGACUUCAUAAACUUAACACCGGAGAUAGUAAUAUGCAGCCCAAAAAGCCAACAAAAAGAUGAAAAAGGAGCUGGACUGACGAGAAGAGCAAGUGUUAUCAGUAAACCGAACUUUUUCAAGUCUGGUUUCCUUAAUCACUCGGUGCUUCAAAUAUUCAGGAUAUCAAGGCUGUCAAGCGAUGGGCUUGUUAUAUUGCUUGCCGCUUAAUUCAUUUAUUGGGUAUUUUGUACUAUUUUCGAUUCUAAAUAUAAAAACUAAUUGAUAGUUA